rnacentral:rRNA from 1 species
AUGGAUGAGGUCACAAGGGAUAUACAAGGAGAUAUCCCAUGGUGUAUGCUCUUUGCGGAUGAUGUGGUGCUAAUUGAUUGUAGUUGGACGGGGGUUAAUAGAAAGUUAGGGCUAUGGAGACAAACUUUCGAAUCGAAAGGUUUUAGGCUUAGUAGAACUAAACCUGAGUACAUGAGGUGCGGUUUCAGUACCACUAGGCACGAGGAGGUUAGCCUUGAUGGGCAGGUGGUAUCUCAGAAGGACACCUUCGAUAUUUGGGGUCAAUGCUGCAGAACAAUGGUGAUACCGACUAAGAUGUGA